rnacentral:rRNA from 1 species
UACGUAGGGAGCAAGCGUUGUCCGGAAUCAUUGGGCGUAAAGCGCGCGUAGGUGGCUUCAUAAGUCCGCUGUGAAAGUCAAAGGCUCAACCUUUGAAAGCCGGUGGAUACUGUGGAGCUAGAGUCCGGAAGAGGCGAGUGGAAAUUCCUGGUGUAGCGGUGGAAUGCGCAGAUAUCAGGAGGAACACCAAUAGCGAAGGCAGCUCGCUGGGACGGUACUGACACUGAGGCGCGAAAGCGUGGGGAGCGAACAGG